UGGGGAAUAUUGCACAAUGGGCGAAAGCCUGAUGCAGCGACGCCGCGUGCGGGAUGAAGGCCUUCGGGUUGUAAACCGCUUUUGAUUGGGAGCAAGCGAGAGUGAGUGUACCUUUCGAAUAAGCACCGGCUAACUACGUGCCAGCAGCCGCGGUAAUACGUAGGGUGCAAGCGUUAUCCGGAAUUAUUGGGCGUAAAGAGCUCGUAGGCGGUUUGUCGCGUCUGGUGUGAAAGUCCAUCGCUUAACGGUGGAUCUGCGCCGGGUACGGGGCAGGCUAGAGUGCGACAGGGGAGACUGGAAUU
rnacentral:rRNA from 1 species